AGCAACCGGUCCGUACGCUGUGGUUUUUCAGUUUCGGGAUUUAGUGAUUUUCUGUUCAAAAAUCGAUUGUUUAGUUUGUUAAUACAUGUUAAAUCGCUUACCUGGAUCAUUAUUCAUUCGGAGUCAACGAAAGCCGUCCAAAUGCCUCGAAACUACAAAAGAAAAACAGACAGGAUGCAAUGGUCACAGCACAUUUUGACUGUAGCGAUAGCAGCCAUCAACAAUGGUAUGCCGGUGCGGAAAGCUUCCGUUAUUUAUGAUAUACCCAGAAGUACACUCCGAGACCAACUAAAAACACGGUUCUCACAAGAUAAUUCCAUAUUAAAUACUUCAUCAAUGCCAAUUAAUAAACUUGGCUCAAUCCGCCUUGUGUUCUCUGCAAUACAGGAGCAGGAAAUUGCACAACAUCUGCUUGAGCUUGAAAGCCGGUUCUAUGGUAUAAAUAUGCGCGACGUACGGGAGCUAGCUUUUGAGCUAGCAGUAAAAAACCACAUCCCUCACCCGUUCAACAUUACAAAAAAAACAAGCUGGACAGGAUUGGUUGAAAGGUUUCUUGUAACGCAAUCCUGUAAUUUCUUUCCGAAAACCAGAACCAACUUCAAUUGCCAGAGCGAGUGCUUUCAAUAAGCCUACAAUUUCGAAAUUUUUUGAUUUGUUGGAAAACGUGAUGAAACAGAAACAGUACCAACCGUCAAAUGUGUGGAAUGCUAAUGAAACAUCGAUAACAACAGUUCCACCGAAAAAAAAAGAUUGCGGCAAAAAAAGGAAAGAAGCAAGUCGGGGCAAUAACGUCCGCUGAGCGCGGAGAGACCAGCACUGCUACUAUGUGCAUGUCUGCAACUGGUCAUCAUAUUCCGCCUUUCAUAAUCUUUCUGAAACAGCGUAUGCGCGAUCAUUGGAAAGAGGGAGCACCGCCCGGUUCUGAGUUCACAGCUUCAAAAAAUGGAUACAUGACUAUUGACAUUUUUAACUUGUGGUUCAAUCAUUUUUUGAAACACGUUCGGCCCACGGCAAAUGCUCCAACGCUCCUAAUUCUUGAUAGACAUUCGUCUCACACGAAGAAUCUUGCAUUUACAGAGAAGGCGCGAGCAAAUAACGUCACGGUGGUAGUACCCCCGCCGCACUGCAGUCAUAGACUGCAGCCAUUGGACGUUUCUUUUAUGGCUCCUUUUAAAAUGUAUUAUAGUGAUGCCGCAGAAAAGCUCAUGCGCGAGAGACCAGAAAAAAACUAUAACUUUGAAUGAUAUUUCUGGACUAGUCAAUAUUGCAUUUAGUAAAGUCGCUACCACGAAAGUGGCAGUUAAUGGUUUCGAAAAGACGGGCUUAGUGCCAUUAAAUCGCAAUGUGUUCAGCGAUAACGAAUUUUCGCCUUCAACGGUAUCAGAUCGCCCACCAGCUCCAGAAGAACUCACGUUUGAUUGUAACAAUUCCCCGAGUACGCUCGACAAAGAAAUUGAGUGUUCGCAGAUCCAGUCAUGUGUCAUUGAUGAAGCAAACCCACAAAAUCUUGUAAAAUUGGAGCUGGCUACUCCAGAAAAGAAUGAAUCAGGAUUUUCUACUUCAUUCACGAUUUCGCCAAAUGAUGUUUAACCGCUGCCAAAAGUGGAACGUCCCAGAGAUAACAAACGAAAACGAGUUAGACAAAAAGCGGCUGAUAUUAAGAAGAAUUAAGAAAAUCUAAAAAAAGCAAAAGCAGAAAAAAGUAUCAAGGAAAUCGAGAAAGCACAAAAGCCAAAGACAAAAAAAGCAAAGUCUCUGAAGACUCUACCAGUGGAACAAGAUUCACUUUGCUUCCAGUGUGGGUCUAUUUUCUCUGAUUCUUGUGACGGGUUAGACUGGAUGAUGUGUUACAAAUGUGGCAAAUGGUUUCACGAAGACUGUGCUCAAACUACGCAGCGAGAUGAAGGAUAUUGUGGGUGCUGAAAAACUUGCAAAACAACCUAUGAACUCUAUUGAAAACUUCGAACACAUUCGCCUUUUUUUGAAUAAAAUUAAGCCGUUGCGUCAAGAUUACACAUUUGAGCCAAUAUUGCUUUCCAAAUGUUAUUUUGUAAAUUUGUUUACCGUUAAUAGGUAUUGAAUUCCAUCUAUUUAUUUCUUGUUGUUUUGUAUAAUCCAUAAUUUUCAAUAAAAAUUCACACAAAACAAAUAUUUGGUGUCCUAUGCCGGUUUUACCCCGUGGUUGGCGCUUUUACCCCGCCGAUGGGCGGGCUUACCCCGCCUGAAAAAAAUCUGCAAAUUUUCAAUUACGUAAUUUAUGGAUACUGCCUAAGAGGUUUUAGUGGAAUCGAUUAAAUUUUAACCCACUCCUUGAGCUCUACUCUCAGGUGUCUGUAAGCAGCUUUUUCCUCCGCAUUGCAAAAAGAAAAAGGUAAAAAAGCGCUGUGCAGAAAAUAAUGAGUGGUAU